GGUCUGGUAGUUCAGYUGGUUAGAAUACCUGCCUGUCACGCAGGGGGUCGCGGGUUCGAGUCCCGUCCAGACCGCAA
rnacentral:tRNA from 1 species